rnacentral:tRNA from 1 species
UAAUAAGAAGCAAAAAAUUUGCAUUUAGUUUCGACCUAAAAUUAGAUAUACUUACUAUCCUUAUUUU